rnacentral:tRNA from 1 species
UUAAUUGAAACCAAAAAAGAGGUAAAUUAUUGUUAAUAAUUUCAUUGAAUGCUCACGCUAUUCCAAUUAAUA